rnacentral:rRNA from 1 species
GAUGAACGCUGGCGGCGUGCCUAAUACAUGCAAGUCGAGCGAACAGACGAGAAGCUUGCUUCUCUGAUGUUAGCGGCGGACGGGUGAGUAACACGUGGAUAACCUACCUAUAAGACUGGGAUAACUUCGGGAAACCGGAGCUAAUACCGGAUAAUAUUUUGAACCGCAUGGUUCAAAAGUGAAAGACGGUCUUGCUGUCACUUAUAGAUGGAUCCGCGCUGCAUUAGCUAGUUGGUAAGGUAACGGCUUACCAAGGCAACGAUGCAUAGCCGACCUGAGAGGGUGAUCGGCCACACUGGAACUGAGACACGGUCCAGACUCCUACGGGAGGCAGCAGUAGGGAAUCUUCCGCAAUGGGCGAAAGCCUGACGGAGCAACGCCGCGUGAGUGAUGAAGGUCUUCGGAUCGUAAAACUCUGCUAUUAGGGAAGAACAUAUGUGUAAGUAACUGUGCACAUCUUGACGGUACCUAAUCAGAAAGCCACGGCUAACUACGUG